rnacentral:rRNA from 1 species
GUGGAUGAGGCAUGCAAGUCGAACGAAGCACUAGGGUAACUUGGUGCUUAGUGGCGGAAGGGUUAGUAAUACAUGAAUAACCUGCCUUUAACCUGGGGAUAACGGCUGGAAACGGCCGCUAAUACCGAAUGCGGUAUUUGAGAGGAAUCUCUUAAAUAUCAAAGUGGGGGACCUUGAAAGGGGCCUGGCGGUUAAAGAGGGGUUCAUGGGAUAUCAGCUAGUUGGUGUGGUAAUGGCGCACCAAGGCUAAGACGUCUAGGCGGAUUGAGAGAUUG